rnacentral:miRNA from 1 species
AAGGGCUCUUCCGAAGCAUGCC